UGUGGUGAUUUGUGUGCCAACUGUGGAUGCUCUCCUUUCUCCUGGGUGUUACCAGCCACCUGUGGUCUUGCCUUAUCUCCCUAAAAAUCAUGGUAGAAGGUGAAGAAGAAGCAAGCCUUCCACUCUGAUGAGCUGGGCAGGGUGUGUCUCAUACAGUUGGCUACAUCAGCUUUAUUUUUCACCUCUUGCAUCACUCACUUGAGACAGACUCCAUUCCUCUGGGCAAUAAUAAUAAUAAUAAUAAUAGAAAGAUUGAAAAUUAGUGUCAAUAAUAUUUUUCUCUCCACCUGUCUUCUUAUCAAUAGCAAAAAUCUCUUAUGCAUUCUGAGUUACUGUCCUUUUGAUCUCCAUGGGAGUUUUAUAUGUCAGUCAAAUGCCAAAUGUGCAAUAGGGAGCUCCAGCAUGGACAAGGGUGUUUGUCUUUCUCUUGCACGUCAGACACAGCUGGUGUGUGUACAUAGGCACAUGCACACACACACACACACACACACACACACACAUGCACACACACACACCAGGGAGGAAGAGACAGUUGGGUCCAGCUCUUGUUCUUCAAAUACUAUCAAGGAGGCUCAGUUCAUUUUUCUUUGCUAACCAGACUCCAGGUCCCAUCUGCUCCUUGAAAAGCAGCAAGGUCAAUGCCAAGUUCCCUUUCAUCAUCCAUAUCUGUGGCUGAGCUGUCUGCGGUGGCAGAAAUGAAUGUUCUCCAUAGCUCUCAGAGUCCUGGCAAUGGCGUGACUUAAAAGGGGCUCUCAAGCUUAAUAGCUCCUGUGUUUUCUGGAUUUAUAAGGAAAUGUGUCUUUGUUUUACUCACAAAAGCAUUUUUUAAGAGAUCUCAAGAAUUUGAAGGUUUGAAAUGAUAAAAAAUGCUCAUAUUUUUUCACAGCUAGA
rnacentral:lncRNA from 1 species